GGGUUGUGAGGUUAAGCGACUAAGCGUACACGGUGGAUGCCCUGGCAGUCAGAGGCGAUGAAGGGCGUGCUAAUCUGCGAUAAGCGCCGGUAAGGUGAUAUGAACCGUUAUAACCGGCGAUACCCGAAUGGGGAAACCCAGUGUGAUUCGUCACACUAUCAUUAACUGAAUCCAUAGGUUAAUGAGGCGAACCGGGGGAACUGAAACAUCUAAGUACCCCGAGGAAAAGAAAUCAACCGAGAUUCCCCCAGUAGCGGCGAGCGAACGGGGAGGAGCCCAGAGCCUGAAUCAGCAUGUGUGUUAGUGGAAGCGUCUGGAAAGGCGCGCGAUACAGGGUGACAGCCCCGUACACAAAAGCGCAUGUGCUGUGAGCUCGAUGAGUAGGGCGGGACACGUGGUAUCCUGUCUGAAUAUGGGGGGACCAUCCUCCAAGGCUAAAUACUCCUGACUGACCGAUAGUGAACCAGUACCGUGAGGGAAAGGCGAAAAGAACCCCGGCGAGGGGAGUGAAAAAGAACCUGAAACCGUGUACGUACAAGCAGUGGGAGCACCCUUCGGGGUGUGACUGCGUACCUUUUGUAUAAUGGGUCAGCGACUUAUAUUCUGUAGCAAGGUUAACCGUAUAGGGAGCCGCAGGAAACCGAGUCUUAACCGGGCGUUAAGUUGCAGGGUAUAGACCCGAAACCCGGUGAUCUAGCCAUGGGCAGGUUGAAGGUUGGGUAACACUAACUGGAGGACCGAACCGACUAAUGUUGAAAAAUUAGCGGAUGACCUGUGGCUGGGGGUGAAAGGCCAAUCAAACCGGGAGAUAGCUGGUUCUCCCCGAAAGCUAUUUAGGUAGCGCCUCGUGAAUUCAUCUCCGGGGUAGAGCACUGUUUCGGCUAGGGGGCCAUCCCGGCUUACCAACCCGAUGCAAACUGCGAAUACCGGAGAAUGUUAUCACGGGAGACACACGGCGGGUGCUAACGUCCGUCGUGAAGAGGGAAACAACCCAGACCGCCAGCUAAGGUCCCAAAGUCAUGGUUAAGUGGGAAACGAUGUGGGAAGGCCCAGACAGCCGGAUGUUGGCUUAGAAGCAGCCAUCAUUUAAAGAAAGCGUAAUAGCUCACUGGUCGAGUCGGCCUGCGCGGAAGAUGUAACGGGGCUAAACCAUGCACCGAAGCUGCGGCAGCGACGCUUAUGCGUUGUUGGGUAGGGGAGCGUUCUGUAAGCCUGCGAAGGUGGCCUGUGAGGGUUGCUGGAGGUAUCAGAAGUGCGAAUGCUGACAUAAGUAACGAUAAAGCGGGUGAAAAGCCCGCUCGCCGGAAGACCAAGGGUUCCUGUCCAACGUUAAUCGGGGCAGGGUGAGUCGACCCUAAGGCGAGGCCGAAAGGCGUAGUCGAUGGGAAACGGGUUAAUAUUCCCGUACUUGGUGUUACUGCGAAGGGGGACGGAGAAGGCUAUGUUGGCCGGGCGACGGUUGUCCCGGUUUAAGCGUGUAGGUGUGUGUUCCGUGUAAAUCCGGUUCACUUUAACACUGAGGCGUGACGACGAGGCACUACGGUGCUGAAGCAACAAAUGCCCUGCUUCCGGAAAGCCUCUAAGCAUCAGGUAACAUCAAAUCGUACCCCAAACCGACACAGGUGGUCAGGUAGAGAAUACCAAGGCGCUUGAGAGAACUCGGGUGAAGGAACUAGGCAAAAUGGUGCCGUAACUUCGGGAGAAGGCACGCUGACACGUAGGUGAAGUGAUUUACUCAUGGAGCUGAAGUCAGUCGAAGAUACCAGCUGGCUGCAACUGUUUAUUAAAAACACAGCACUGUGCAAACACGAAAGUGGACGUAUACGGUGUGACGCCUGCCCGGUGCCGGAAGGUUAAUUGAUGGGGUCAGCGCAAGCGAAGCUCCUGAUCGAAGCCCCGGUAAACGGCGGCCGUAACUAUAACGGUCCUAAGGUAGCGAAAUUCCUUGUCGGGUAAGUUCCGACCUGCACGAAUGGCGUAAUGAUGGCCGGCUGUCUCCACCCGAGACUCAGUGAAAUUGAACUCGCUGUGAAGAUGCAGUGUACCCGCGGCAAGACGGAAAGACCCCGUGAACCUUUACUAUAGCUUGACACUGAACAUUGAGCCUUGAUGUGUAGGAUAGGUGGGAGGCUUUGAAGUGUGGACGCCAGUCUGCAUGGAGCCGACCUUGAAAUACCACCCUUUAAUGUUUGAUGUUCUAACGUGGACCCGUAAUCCGGGUUGCGGACAGUGUCUGGUGGGUAGUUUGACUGGGGCGGUCUCCUCCUAAAGAGUAACGGAGGAGCACGAAGGUUGGCUAAUCCUGGUCGGACAUCAGGAGGUUAGUGCAAUGGCAUAAGCCAGCUUGACUGCGAGCGUGACGGCGCGAGCAGGUGCGAAAGCAGGUCAUAGUGAUCCGGUGGUUCUGAAUGGAAGGGCCAUCGCUCAACGGAUAAAAGGUACUCCGGGGAUAACAGGCUGAUACCGCCCAAGAGUUCAUAUCGACGGCGGUGUUUGGCACCUCGAUGUCGGCUCAUCACAUCCUGGGCUGAAGUAGGUCCCAAGGGUAUGGCUGUUCGCCAUUUAAAGUGGUACGCGAGCUGGGUUUAGAACGUCGUGAGACAGUUCGGUCCCUAUCUGCCGUGGGCGCUGGAGAACUGAGGGGGCUGCUCCUAGUACGAGAGGACCGGAGUGGACGCAUCACUGGUGUUCGGGUUGUCAUGCCAAUGGCACUGCCCGGUAGCUAAAUGCGGAAGAGAUAAGUGCUGAAAGCAUCUAAGCACGAAACUUGCCCCGAGAUGAGUUCUCCCUGAGACUUAGAGUCUCCUGAAGGAACGUUGAAGACGACGACGUUGAUAGGCCGGGUGUGUAAGCGCAGCGAUGCGUUGAGCUAACCGGUACUAAUGAACCGUGAGGCUUAACCUUACAACGCCGAAG
rnacentral:rRNA from 1 species